GUCUCAGUAGCAUAGUGCUUAGUGCACAGCCCUGGAUACGUUGAGACGCGUGUUCAAAUCUCUCCUGAGAUG
rfam:Nippostrongylus brasiliensis genome assembly, scaffold: NBR_scaffold0000122